rnacentral:rRNA from 1 species
AUUGAACGCUGGCGGCAUGCCUUACACAUGCAAGUCGAACGGCAGCGGACCUUCGGGUGCCGGCGAGUGGCGAACGGGUGAGUAAUAUAUCGGAACGUACCUUUCAGUGGGGGAUAACGUAGCGAAAGUUAACGCUAAUACCGCAUAUUCUGUGAGCAGGAAAGCNGGGGAGUCGCAAGACCUUGCGCUGAUUGAGCGGCCGAUAUCAGAUUAGCUAGUUGGUGAGGUAAAGGCUCACCAAGGCGACGAUCUGUAGCGGGUCGUGAGAGGAUGAUCCGCCACACUGGAACUGAGACACGGUCCAGACUCCUACGGGAGGCAGCAGUGGGGAAUUUUGGACAAUGGGCGCAAGCCUGAUCCAGCCAUGCCGCGUGAGUGAAGAAGGCC